rnacentral:tRNA from 1 species
GGGCCAGUAGCUCAGUCUGGUUAGAGCACCUGCCUUUUAAGCAGGGUGUCGGAGGUUCGAAUCCUCCCUGGCUCACCA